rnacentral:rRNA from 1 species
GGGGAAUUGUUCGCAAUGGGCGCAAGCCUGACGACGCAACGCCGCGUGGAGGAUGAAGAUCUUCGGGUCGUAAACUCCUGUCGAGCGGGAAGAACGUUUCGCGGAUGAAUAAGCCGCGAAAGUUACGGUACCGCUAAAGGAAGCCCCGGCUAACUCCGUGCCAGCAGCAGCGGUAAUACGGGGGGGGCAAGCGUUGUUCGGAAUUACUGGGCGUAAAGGGCGUGUAGGCGGGCCGGUAAGUUGGGGGUGAAAUCCCGAGGCUCAACCUCGGAACUGCCUCCAAAACUGGCGGCCUGGAGCAAGAUAGAGGCGAGUGGAAUUGCGAGUGUAGAGGUGAAAUUCGUAGAUAUUCGCAGGAACACCAGUGGCGAAGGCGACUCGCUGGAUCUUUGCUGACGCUGAGACGCGAAAGCGUGGGGAGCAA